UUUAUAUAAAAUUUUGGAUAAUUAUGGCCAUAAAAAUUAAUUUAAAAAAUCACUCGUCAUAGUAACCUUUCAGCACUUGAUCUGGAAGUACAUGUUUGAUCAGAUGAUGGAACAAUGUUAUGUCAUUUUAAAUACGCGUGUUGAUAUCUUAAUUGUCCGGUGCCAGUUCACCGCGCCCGACAAAGGCAAUAAUUAGGGUUCUUAGUGAUUAAAUGAUUAACUCUGUUCACUCAGGCGUCGUCCACCCAGGCAUCCUGGUCACUGAUUGGUCACUACCGCCGGACAGUAGCGGAUAAAACACGCGUCCAUAUGCUGUUUGAUUUAAAUCUUCCAUCGACUUCUUGACUUACAGGCUUAUCAAGAUAAAGACGACUCAAAGCAAAGCAGCUUGCUUUCCUCCGACGAAACGGGAGUCCAUUCUGAACUUCGAAGAAUAAACUUGAGAUGAUCAAAAUUGCGGGACUUGCAUAAAAAGAAUUCACAGAAAGUGUAGAAAGAUUAAUCAGCUAUGGCCCAAGGACUCAACGAUCUGCAUUUGAAACUCACCCGUAAUGGAAAAAUAGAAAAGGCUGCUAUUGUGGAUAAAACAGGAAAAAUUGUUGCAUGCAGUUCGAAUUUUACUGUGAAAGACUGCGAUAUCAAUGCCAUCAAAUGUGCGCUCUCAGGACAGUACUCUUCUCUUGUGAAAAUGAAGUUCGGAAAUGAAAUGUUCAUGUGUUUUACACAAUGUGAGGAAAAAGACACUCUUUUGGGAAAGUAUGAGGAUGAAAUUUUGGUCGCCCAUCGCAAGAACGGUUUUCUGGUGGUAGGGAUCGGGUAUUCCGACACCCCCGGAUCUUGCUUGUACGAAGUCACACAAUUUGCGAAGAGAUUCGACUCUAAAAGAUUUAGUUACAAAUGCUAGUUAUCUGUGAUUACGACAACAGAAACACUUUAAACAGUACCCACUUCUUUUGUUACGCCAUGUGUUUUCACGUGGCCACGAUACUUUGCGUUAUGUUUAUGUGACUUGAUUUACUUGUAAAAAAUGGCAGACUUUGUUAUUUGUUCGUUGUUAUUAAUUUUUUUUUAAAGUUUUGAUAAUAAAAAAUGUACAUAUUAUAAAA